AUGAACGCUGGCGGCGUGCUUAACACAUGCAAGUCGAACGGGAUCCAAGGGGUGCUUGCACUUUUUGGUGAGAGUGGCGAACGGGUGAGUAACACGUGAGUAACCUGUCCUUUUCUUCGGGAUAAGCAUUCGAAAGGGUGUUUAAUACCUUAUGUUCUGUCUGCCUCGCAUGGGGUGGGUGGGAAAGGCUUUGGCCGGAUUUGGGUGGGCUCGCGGUCUAUCAGCUUGUUGGUGGGGUGAUGGCUUACCAAGGCUUUGACGGGUAGCCGGCCUGAGAGGGUGGUCGGUCACAUUGGGACUGAGAUACGGCCCAGACUCCUGCGGGAGGCAGCAGUGGGGGAUAUUGCACAAUGGGCGAAAGCCUGAUGCAGCGACGCCGCGUGGGGGAUGAAGGCCUUCGGGUUGUAAACUUCUUUUGCUCUGAACAAGGCAUGCCAGUGGGUGUGUUGAGUGUAGGGGUUGAUUAGCGCCGGCUAACUACGUG
rnacentral:rRNA from 1 species